rnacentral:rRNA from 1 species
UAGACCGCCUGGGGAGUACGGCCGCAAGGUUAAAACUCAAAUGAAUUGACGGGGGCCCGCACAAGCGGUGGAGCAUGUGGUUUAAUUCGAUGCAACGCGAAGAACCUUACCUGGUCUUGACAUCCACAGAAGUUUCCAGAGAUGGACUGGUGCCUUCGGGAACUGUGAGACAGGUGCUGCAUGGCUGUCGUCAGCUCGUGUUGUGAAAUGUUGGGUUAAGUCCCGCAACGAGCGCAACCCUUAUCCUUUGUUGCCAGCG